rnacentral:piRNA from 1 species
GAUAUGAUGACUGAUUACCUGAG